CCCUUAGAUGUCCUGGGCCGCACGCGUGCUACACUGACGCCUACAGCGAGUACUUCCCAGCCCCGAGAGGUGGCUGGUAAUCAGCAAUAGGCGUCGUGAUGGGGAUAGAUCUUUGGAAUUAUGGAUCUUGAACGAGGAAUGCCUAGUAAGCGCAGGUCAUUAGCCUGCGCUGAUUAAGUCCCUGCCCUUUGUACACACCGCCCGUCGCUCCUACCGAUUUCGAGCGGUCCGGUGAAUCUUUCGGACUGCGCGCGGCCUCGUGCCGUGUCGCGGAAAGUCAGGUAAACCUUAUCACUUAGAGGAAGGAGAAGUCGUAACA
rnacentral:rRNA from 1 species